GUGGGGAAUAUUGGACAAUGGGCGAAAGCCUGAUCCAGCCAUGCCGCGUGUGUGAAGAAGGUCUUCGGAUUGUAAAGCACUUUAAGUUGGGAGGAAGGGCAGUAAGUUAAUACCUUGCUGUUUUGACGUUACCGACAGAAUAAGCACCGGCUAACUUCGUGCCAGCAGCCGCGGUAAUACGAAGGGUGCAAGCGUUAAUCGGAAUUACUGGGCGUAAAGCGCGCGUAGGUGGUUUUGUAAGUUGGAGGUGAAAUACCCGGGCUCAACCUGGGAACUGCCUCCAAAACUGCAUGACUAGAGUACGGUAGAGGGUAGUGGAAUUUCCUGUGUAGCGGUGAAAUGCGUAGAUAUAGGAAGGAACACCAGUGGCGAAGGCGACUACCUGGACUGAUACUGACACUGAGGUGCGAAAGCGUGGGGAGCAAACAGGAUUAGAAACCCGAGUAGUCC
rnacentral:rRNA from 1 species